AUCCUGGGGUCUGGACCCUUCUGGGUCCCAGGCACAGCUCAGGACCAGCCCCAAGCUGAGCUGCGCUUGCAGCUGGGACCCCAGCUUUUUGGGGGCUGUUCCUCCUGUGUCUGCCGGUCCCCAAAACCUGCCCCAUGGAGCACCAAUGCCAUCCACUGCCGGGCUCCGGCACGAGAAAAGGAGCUCCCUUCCCUCCUCCGCGGGGCUGAGCGCAGCUCUCGCACUAACAGCAACCUCGGGAUGCCCUUUAAUUUUUAAUGAUUCAAUAAAAUGGUAAUUACAAACACUGCAGUUUGAGUUUUUAAGUAGAAAGUAUUAACUUCCCAGGGUUUAAUUAUUCAACAGAAAUUAAUGAAAGCGGGGCUGGAUCCUGCUGGAUCCUGCUUUUCCUUCGCAGGGCCAGCAUCGCUCUCUUUGCGGGGACCAGGACUUCCAGCAGAGGAGGUGCAGGCACCUGGGUGCUGCAGGGGCUGAGCACCCUCCGGGGAGCCAGUGACCGCCCUGAUCCAAGCCAAAGCUGUAGGAGCGGCCCUAUAAAGCAUCCCCUCCUGAGCAGCGCCUGGCGGUGCAGGUGGAUGUCCGCAUGGAGCCAGCCUGCAGCGAAUGGCACCUGUGGGGUCUCGGGGAACCAGGUUUGCUGGAAAAGCAAGUUGUUGCUGUUAUUAAUAGUUAAUAACGUCAUUAAUAAGCAAACCUGUCGGCUCGAUUGCCUGCAACGAGGUGGUAGGAAAAUAGCACUGGUCAGGGCUCCCUGCAGGAUGGGAAUAUUUGCUCCUGGGGCUCGCUGGGCGAGGGGGUGGUGCUGAGCCCUGUAGGGACUGGUGCUCUGCUGAUGAGGUGCCUGGGGAGAGAGCAGGGCCUCAUCUGCAAGGGAAAUGAAAUUAUCACCGGCUCCGUCUGCCGUCAUCCUGCUCCGCAGAGCCCUAGGAGCUGUGUGGAGAGGGUCUCACAGGGUGUGGGUGCCCA
rnacentral:lncRNA from 1 species